ACGCUCGACACCUACGGGCAGCAGUGGGGAAUAUUGCACAAUGGGGGAAACCCUGAUGCAGCGACGCCGCGUGAGCGAAGAAGUAUUUCGGUAUGUAAAGCUCUAUCAGCAGGGAAGAAACUGACGGUACCUGACUAAGAAGCACCGGCUAAAUACGUGCCAGCAGCCGCGGUAAUCUGAGGCGGGCUGGCAAGGC
rnacentral:rRNA from 1 species